rfam:Oryza sativa Japonica Group DNA, chromosome 4, cultivar: Nipponbare, complete sequence.
UUUAAGUGCAACUGUGAGUUUCCGUGUCCAAUUUUGAUCGUCCGUCUUAUUUGAAAACUUUUUAUAAUUAGUAUUUUUGUUGUUAUGAGAUGAUAAAACAUGAAUAGUAUUUUACUCGUGACUUAUGUUUUUAAAUUUUUUUCAAAAAUUAUUCAAAUAAGACGGACGAUCAAAAUUGGGCGCGAGAAAUCAUGGCUGCAUUUAAA